UGGGGAAUAUUGCACAAUGGGCGCAAGCCUGAUGCAGCGACGCCGCGUGAGGGAUGACGGCCUUCGGGUUGUAAACCUCUUUCAGCAGGGACGAAGCGCGAGUGACGGUACCUGCAGAAGAAGCACCGGCCAACUACGUGCCAGCAGCCGCGGUAAUACGUAGGGUGCGAGCGUUGUCCGGAAUUACUGGGCGUAAAGAGCUCGUAGGCGGUUUGUCGCGUCGUCUGUGAAAUUCUGCAGCUUAACUGCAGGCGUGCAGGCGAUACGGGCAGACUUGAGUACUACAGGGGAGACUGGAAUUCCUGGUGUAGCGGUGAAAUGCGCAGAUAUCAGGAGGAACACCGGUGGCGAAGGCGGGUCUCUGGGUAGUAACUGACGCUGAGGAGCGAAAGCGUGGGUAGCGAACAGGAUUAGAUACCCUGGUAGUCCACGCCGUAAACGGUGGGUACUAGGUGUGGGUUCCAUUUCACGGGAUCCGUGCCGUAGCUAACGCAUUAAGUACCCCGCCUGGGGAGUACGGCCGCAAGGCU
rnacentral:rRNA from 1 species